rnacentral:antisense_RNA from 1 species
UGUGGGAGCGGGCUUGCUCGCGAAAGCGGUCUUUCAGUAAACAAUGAUGUCGACUGAUCUGACGCCUUCGCGAGCAAGCCCGCUCCCACA